CCGCUGAAUUAGUGAUUGGCGGGUUGUAUCUUUAAACUCUUAUUUACUGGAGAAAAUUUUAUGUCACUAACCACAGAGCAAACGGCAACAAUCAUUGCUGACUAUA
rnacentral:ncRNA from 1 species